ensembl:miRNA mir146a microRNA 146a
GAGUUUGUUUUGAGCACUUUUCCCUGAGAACUGAAUUCCAUAGAUGGUGUUCAUGAAAAGUUCAUCUAUGGGCUCAGUUCUUCUGGCAAUCUGUUUAAUGUCUGCUACAAAUUC